AUGAACGCUAGCUACAGGCUUAACACAUGCAAGUCGAGGGGCAGCAUGGUCUUAGCUUGCUAAGACUGAUGGCGACCGGCGCACGGGUGAGUAACACGUAUCCAACCUGCCGUCUACUCUUGGACAGCCUUCUGAAAGGAAGAUUAAUACAAGAUGGCAUCAUGAGUCCGCAUGUUCACAUGAUUAAAGGUAUUCCGGUAGACGAUGGGGAUGCGUUCCAUUAGAUAGUAGGCGGGGUAACGGCCCACCUAGUCUUCGAUGGAUAGGGGUUCUGAGAGGAAGGUCCCCCACAUUGGAACUGGGACACGGUCCAAACUCCUACGGGAGGCAGCAGUGAGGGAUAUUGGUCAAUGGGCGAGAGCCUGAACCAGCCAAGUAGCGUGAAGGAUGACUGCCCUAUGGGUUGUAAACUUCUUUUAUAAAGGAAUAAAGUCGGGUAUGCAUACCCGUUUGCAUGUACUUUAUGAAUAAGGAUCGGCUAACUCCGUGCCAGCAGCCGCGGUAAUACGGAGGAUCCGAGCGUUAUCCGGAUUUAUUGGGUUUAAAGGGAGCGUAGAUGGAUGUUUAAGUCAGUUGUGAAAGUUUGCGGCUCAACCGUAAAAUUGCAGUUGAUACUGGAUAUCUUGAGUGCAGUUGAGGCAGGCGGAAUUCGUGGUGUAGCGGUGAAAUGCUUAGAUAUCACGAAGAACUCCGAUUGCGAAGGCAGCCUGCUAAGCUGCAACUGACAUUGAGGCUCGAAAGUGUGGGUAUCAAACAGGAUUAGAUACCCUGGUAGUCCACACGGUAAACGAUGAAUACUCGCUGUUUGCGAUAUACAGCAAGCGGCCAAGCGAAAGCGUUAAGUAUUCCACCUGGGGAGUACGCCGGCAACGGUGAAACUCAAAGGAAUUGACGGGGGCCCGCACAAGCGGAGGAACAUGUGGUUUAAUUCGAUGAUACGCGAGGAACCUUACCCGGGCUUAAAUUGCAGAUGAAUUACGGUGAAAGCCGUAAGCCGCAAGGCAUCUGUGAAGGUGCUGCAUGGUUGUCGUCAGCUCGUGCCGUGAGGUGUCGGCUUAAGUGCCAUAACGAGCGCAACCCUUGUUGUCAGUUACUAACAGGUCAUGCUGAGGACUCUGACAAGACUGCCAUCGUAAGAUGUGAGGAAGGUGGGGAUGACGUCAAAUCAGCACGGCCCUUACGUCCGGGGCUACACACGUGUUACAAUGGGGGGGUACAGAGGGCCGCUACCACGCGAGUGGAUGCCAAUCCCCAAAACCUCUCUCAGUUCGGACUGGAGUCUGCAACCCGACUCCACGAAGCUGGAUUCGCUAGUAAUCGCGCAUCAGCCACGGCGCGGUGAAUACGUUCCCGGGCCUUGUACACACCGCCCGUCAAGCCAUGGGAGCCGGGGGUACCUGAAGUGCGUAACCGCGAGGAGCGCCCUAGGGUAAAACUGGUGACUGGGGCU
rnacentral:rRNA from 1 species